CUACGGGCUGCUGCAGUGGGGAAUAUUGCACAAUGGAGGAAACUCUGAUGCAGCAGCGCCGCGUGGAGGAUGACACCUUUCGGAGCGUAAACUCCUUUUAUAUAGGAAGAAGAUGACGGUACUAUAUGAAUAAGCGCCGGCUAACUCCGUGCCAGCAGCCGCGGUAAUACGGAGGGCGCAAGCGUUACUCGGAAUCACUGGGCGUAAAGAGCGUGUAGGCGGAUUAAAAAGUCAGAAGUGAAAUCCUAUAGCUUAACUAUAGAACUGCUUCUGAAACUCUUAAUCUAGAAUAUGGGAGAGGUAGAUGGAAUUUCUGGUGUAGGGGUAAAAUCCGUAGAGAUCAGAAGGAAUACCGAUUGCGAAGGCGAUCUACUAGAACAUUAUUGACGCUGAGACGCGAAAGCGUGGGGAGCAAACAGGAUUAGAUACCCUCGUAGUC
rnacentral:rRNA from 1 species